rnacentral:rRNA from 1 species
AUACAGAGGGUGCAAGCGUUAUUCGGAAUCACUGGGCGUAAAGGACGCGUAGGCGGGUUUGUAAGUCAGGUGUGAAAUCCUACAGCUCAACUGUAGAACUGCACUUGAAACUACAGACCUAGAGUAUGGAAGGGGCAGAUGGAAUUAGUGGUGUAGGGGUAAAAUCCGUAGAUAUCACUAGGAAUACCGAAAGCGAAGGCGAUCUGCUGGGACAUUACUGACGCUGAGGCGUGAAAGCGUGGGGAGCAAACAGGAUUAGAAACCCCAGUAGUCC